UUUGAAGGGCCGCAGUAUAUUGUCUGUGCAAAGGUAGCAUAAUCAUUAGUCUUUUAAUUGAAGGCUGGUAUGAAUGGUUGGAUGAGGUGAAUUCUGUUUUAUUUUAAUUUAUGUUGAAUUUAGAUUUUAAGUAAAAAGACUUAACUAAUAUUAAGGGACGAGAAGACCCUAUAGAGUUUAAUAAAUGCAUUAAUUAGUUGGGUUAUGAAUAUGAUUUUUGAUUAUUAUGAAAUUUAUUUAAUUGGGGUGAUUGGAAGAUAAAAACAACUCUUCUUUAUGUUUAAUAUUUUUAUUAGCAAUUUGAUCCGUAUUUAAUGAUUAAAAGAUUAAAUUACCUUAGGGAUAACAGCAUAAUUCUUUUUGAGAGUUCAUAUCGAAAAAAGAGGUUGUGACCUCGAUGUUGGAUUAAGAUUGGUUUUGGGUGUAGAUGUUCAAUAACUAGGUCUGUUCGACCUUAAAAAUCUUACAUG
rnacentral:rRNA from 1 species